AAAAUUUCCUUAAAAUUACCAAUUCAGGGGCAGCAACCCAACAACGGGUUGUCUGAUUCAUCUGAAAAUUUCAGGGCAGAUAGAUCUUGACCUAAUAAACAAUAUUAUCCCAUGUCAGAUUUGCUCUAAAUGCUUUGGUUUUUGAGUUAUAAGCCAAAAACUGCAUUUGACCCCUAUGUUCUAUUUUUAGCAAUGGCGACCAUGUUUGUUGAUAG
rnacentral:lncRNA from 1 species